GAUGAACGCUGGCGGCGUGCCUAAUACAUGCAAGUCGAGCGAACAGACGAGGAGCUUGCUCCUCUGACGUUAGCGGCGGACGGGUGAGUAACACGUGGAUAACCUACCUAGAAGACUGGGAUAACUUCGGGAAACCGGAACUAAUACCGGAAAAUAUAUUGAACCGCAUGGUUCAAUAAUGAAAGACGGUUUUGCUGUCACUUAUAGAUGGAUCCCCGCCGCAUUAGCUAAUUGGUAAGGUAACGGAUUACCAAGGCAACGAUUCGUAGCCGACCUGAGAGGGUGAUCGGCCACACUGGAACUGAGACACGGUCCAGACUCCUACGGGAGGCAGCAGUAGGGAAUCUUCCGCAAUGGGCGAAAGCUUGACGGAGCAACGCCGCGUGAGUGAUGAAGGUCUUCGGAUCGUAAAACUCUGUUAUUAGGGAAGAACAAAUGUGUAAGUAACUAUGCACGUCUUGACGGUACCUAAUCAGAAAGCCACGGCUAACUACGUG
rnacentral:rRNA from 1 species